rnacentral:rRNA from 1 species
GAUGAACGCUAGCGGCAGGCUUAACACAUGCAAGUCGAGGGGUAUAGAAAGCUUGCUUUCUAGAGACCGGCAAACGGGUGCGGAACACGUACACAACCUACCUUUAUCAGGGGGAUAGCCUUCGGAAACGGAGAUUAAUACCCCAUAGUAUUAUGGAGUGGCAUCAUUUUAUAAUUAAAGAAUUUCGGAUAGAGAUGGGUGUGCGUAAGAUUAGCUAGUUGGUGAGGUAAAGGCUCACCAAGGCAACGAUCUUUAGCUGAUGUGAGAGCAUGAUCAGCCACACGGGAACUGAGACACGGGCCCGACUCCUACGGGAGGCAGCAGUGAGGAAUAUUGGUCAAUGGACGGAAGUCUGAACCAGCCAUGCCGCGUGAAGGAUGAAGGCGUUCUGCGUUGUAAACUUCUUUUAUUUAGGAAGAAACCACUUUUUUUUAAGAGUGUUGACGGUAUUAAAUGAAUAAGCACCGGCUAACUCCGUGCCAGCAGCCGCCGUAAUAC